GGGUGCACUGGCGCACUUGGGAGGUGCACGUGCACCCCCUACCCGUCAUCACUUCCCACUUUAUACAUGGGAAGACUAAGGUAGAAAAUUAGUGCCUUGGGCAAGGCUGUAGUAGGAAUCAAGUGUCAGGGCUGGGGAUGAAAUAGCAGGAAACACUUCAUAGAAUAAGUACAGGACUGAUAGCCAAGUUGUAUGUCAAAUUGCUGAAUUGCCUUGCUUGUAACAGUGACAUUGGCUGCUUAGAGAAGCUGGCUCAGCUACAGCUUAAUAAACUAGAAAAUUAUUGUUGGAAGCUCAAUUAAAAUUAGUUGCAGCUGGAUGGCAGCGCCCUUCAUCACCACAUAUUUGUGAAGCUCCUACUUAUGUUCAUGAUUUUCCCUUGAAAAGGGAAUAUGGAGAACUGGUGACCUCUCAGAGGUAUCAGUGGCAAACUUCAACUGCUGUGAUGAACAUAUAUGUUUAAAGGGAGAUUGGCAAAGAAAAGUGGCUGAAAGUUACUCUGCCUCCCUUUAUUUUCAAGUUUCAUAAGAACUCAGCUCUGUUUCCAUUGUGGUAUGAAAUUGUACUUUAUUGAAUGUAGAAAUGGUUGAAGCUGAACUUUUCAAUGUCCUAUGAGAAGCUAGUUACCUCAGAAUUUUCUCAUGGGCCUUGAAAAGGAAACAGAAUUGUAUCAAUUGGACUUCAUCUGCAUUUGUGUUGCUUGGAUGUACGACACCUUAAAGUGUUAAAUCUUUUUCACUGCAACACCCUUGGUUAUAUAGUAUAUUGUUCUCUGACUGUCACCCAGCAAAAAAAAAAGCAUUACCUUCAGGUUGGGUAGUAGGCCACCAAUUGAACUGCGCAGAAAAAUAAUCCUCCAAGGACUAGAUUGUUAAUAAGGAUAAUUUUAGUUAGCUUUCUAUCAGUUAAACCAUCUUUCUUGAAAGAAAGAAAGAAAAGAAAAAUACAGUUUUUGUACAUGUAUAUAUUUAAUAAGGAUAGUCUUGCUUUGAGGAGAACCAAAAUACUGGAAAAGUUGGCAUGUGUAAAUGGACCAUUAGAACAAUUCCAAAUAAUCCAGUUUCUGGACUGGGAAUCUUCCACUGUGGUUUCUGUGUAGGCCUAUGACAGGGUAUGCAACUUCAGGGUACAGUAAGCCUCAAUAUUUGCAUUCUUCCAUAUGUGUUUAAAAAAACAAACUGCAGUGGAGUGCUUUACAUACUGUACUCUAACGUGGAUAUGCUGUAGUGGCAAGUACAAACAAUAGAGCUGUCUCACACAUCUUGAUACCAAAGGAAUUUGCAGAAAAUUAAAAAAAAAAAACCCAAACA